UCGGGAAUUUUGGGCAAUGGGCGAAAGCCUGACCCAGCAACGCCGCGUGAAGGAUGAAGUAUUUCGGUAUGUAAACUUCGUAAGAAUAGGAAGAAUAAAUGACGGUACUAUUUGUAAGGUCCGGCUAACUACGUGCCAGCAGCCGCGGUAAUACGUAGGGUGCGAGCGUUAAUCGGAAUUACUGGGCGUAAAGCGUGCGCAGGCGGUUAUAUAAGACAGAUGUGAAAUCCCCGGGCUCAACCUGGGACCUGCAUUUGUGACUGUAUAGCUAGAGUACGGUAGAGGGGGAUGGAAUUCCGCGUGUAGCAGUGAAAUGCGUAGAUAUGCGGAGGAACACCGAUGGCGAAGGCAAUCCCCUGGACCUGUACUGACGCUCAUGCACGAAAGCGUGGGGAGCAAACAGGAUUAGAUACCCGGGUAGUCCCUGAGCGGGCUGGCAAGGCGCAU
rnacentral:rRNA from 1 species